rnacentral:misc_RNA from 1 species
AAGUCGUAACAAGGUUUCCGUAGGUGAACCUGCGGAAGGAUCAUUACCACACCAAAAAAACUUUCCACGUGAACCGUUCUGUCCGUUUUGUGCCGUUGCUGUUGUCGUCAUUCGACGAGAAGAGCAGUGGCUAAACGAAGGCUGUGGGCUUCGUGCUUGCGGUCGAUUUAUUCUUUCAAACCCCAUACGUUAAGAACUGAAGUAUACUGUGAGGACGAAAGUCCUUGCUUUGAACUAGAUAGCAACUUUCAGCAGUGGAUGUCUAGGCUC